GCUGGAGUAGCUCAUUUGGUUUGAGCGUGCGACUGCUGAUUACAAGGUUGAAGGUUGGAUCCCUUUCUAUAGUG
rnacentral:tRNA from 1 species